UGUCGCAUCCCCCAUCUUCCUCUGGCUCUUGAUUUAGAAGCUGAGCACAGGGGACACGCGGUUCCUGUGGGGGUGGAAACAGAGAGGUGUUAGGGGGCUUGGGAGAUGAGGAGCGUGCUGCUGAGAGAGUCUGGAACUGUAACGUGACACCACCACCUGGGGUGUCCGACCAGAAGGCCGGGGGCCCGGAAUUCCGGUUCUCCAAGCUCCAAGGAACGUGGGACCCACAGUCCAGAAACUCCUGCCUCCCAGUGGGAAGUCCUGUUCUCAGGGAGAGCCACGGGCCAGGGCAGGAGCAGGCAGCCUGGGCGCUGAAUGAGAGAAUCAAAAUAAGCCAACUGAGACAUGAUGGUAAAUUGUGCGCCCGCCUCCUUACAAAUCGCAGCAGAGCAGACAGGUGUCGAAGCUGAUCUGGACCAGUGAGAGAGGGAAGAAGAGAAGAAGUGAACCUUUCAGAAUUCGGCUCACAAAAGCAUGCCCAUUGUUGGAGAAGAAAC
rnacentral:lncRNA from 1 species